CAAGCUGUUUCUGACAGGAGCUGGUGAGAGACAGUGGAGGAGAGCAAUCACUAUGCCUUGGAGCUACAGGAGAAGAGAGAGCCAGGAAGUGAGGGGGAAGCUCGCUAAAUGGGUGACCACCAAGAUUUGUGAAAUGCAUACCUUCCUGGUGACAAUUUUCCUCAUGGGAAUAGUGAAGAACUCCCUAAGGGAAUACUGAAGCACGGAUCUGAGGAGGCCACACAGGAAGACUUGGAGACUAUUCCUUCCAUCCAGCCAGGUAACCACAGGUAACCAGAUAGCCGCAGAUGCUACCACCAGCGAGAUGAAGGAGAAGUCCAAUAAGCAACUUCUCCUCUUUGCAUCUCUGCAGCCAUAGCAAGGGUCUUCUGCCUCCCGUGCAAGAAGACCUGCAAGCAUGGGGAGACAACAUACCAUUUGCAUUUGUUACAUAUGUUUCUAAAAGAAUAAGUUAUGUUUCUAACAAAAACUAUGAUUAUCUACUUUGGUUCUGUUACUUAAAGAUUACAAGCAACAUUUUCCUUGUCUUAACGCUGUUGUCAAAGUUCACUGCAAAAAGUGAAAAGCACCUGAAAAGUUUGUUUGAAAGAACAGUGCCGCCUUCACAUACAUACAUUCAGGUGCAAUGUUGUCUUAGUGGUAGUUGAGUGACCUUAAAUUCCUCGUGCAACGCAUGUGCUUUUGUCCACCACAUAUUUAUGGCAUCAGUGGCCCUAGAAAGUAUUUAAACAAGGUAUUUUGUGUUUAACAUGAGAGGGGGAAAUGUGAUUGAACAAUUGCCAUAUUAAAACCAUUUCCCUUAUUAUCUGGCAACAUGCACCAGACUGACCUCUCAUUUUAUCUCUUAUCACUUAGAGCAAGUGGAUUAAAUUCUAUAAAUCAUCACCGGUUAAUGAAAGACAUUUAGGGGUGUUUACUGGUCGUUAUACAAUAUUAGGGUUUGUGCCCAAUAAUUAUGUAAAACUAAUUGUACAUGUAAAUAGCCCACUGUCAUUGGGGUCCAUGGUUUCAGGUUGAUCAGGUGGAAGAGUAUUGCUAUAUCGGUCAUCUUUAAAGUAAUUGGUGAACACUAGUUGUCCUAAUCAUGUGCAUAACUAACUGUAUGGACCUAUAGUAGUUUACUACAAUCAGACCUGGGUCCAAUACAUUUUUUAAAUAUUUGAAAUACUUGAGGUGGGAUCGAUUUAGCUUGCCUGACAUGCAGAGUUUGCACUCUGGGGACUAUUCCAUUGGUUCCAAUGUGCCUGAUAAGCUAAAUCAAGCAUGCACCUAGUACUUGAAAUACAUAGCCUUUUCGAUCCAGUUCUGACUACAAUAAUUUAUGUGACAAAAAUAUGAUCAAAUUAAAACACAACAGAAUAUCUAUUUUUGUCUAAUAUUCAAGUUAGUGGAUAAACUUGAUGAAUUACUUUUUAACAAUUAGUCUAAUGGAGGCUUCCAAUAGAGUCUAUACCCCAUCUCGGUCACCAGAGGGCACUUAUGUUUUGUUAUUUGGAGCCCAGAUUGGCUCCUUAGUAGGCCCACUGUAGUUUACUACAUAGAAAUAUAAUUGCAUUCUAGUUCUAUGGUUUACUACUCCUAGGAUUCACUUUAAUUUGCAGUUAUAUAAAGGAACACAAUUAUUCCAAAUAACAAGAAAGUUAAUACAUUAAGUUUUGAACAUGAAGUUUUUUGUCAACGGUGUCAUAGUCUAAAUCUACUACCCUAAUCUUACUGAUAUGAGGGUAUUUCAAGUGGACUAUUGCUGCACUGUUAUCUUUACCUUUUCUCAUUCAUCUGCAUUUACAUCUAAUACAUUUGUCUUCCCCAAUGUAUGAGUCAUGAUUAUCGUGAUUUCAGAGUCUUUCUAACCUAAUUCUCAUAGUGGAUAUAAGCACGGUUUUCGAUUGAGACUUACACCUUUAUCAUUUAUAUUCAAAAGAUGUAGUAUUGAUUUUAACCACAAUAACAAUUUCACCAAUAUUUUUCUGUGUGGAGCAACCUGUCUCUAUUGACCUUACCAUUAUGGGGUCUUAAUAUUUGCUUCUAUGAUUGUGAAGACAUUUUUUAAAAUCAAUUGGUGAAGAAAAUAAACUUAACUAUAUCUAAUGUAUUUUUUAACAAGAUGAUAGGCUCAUUGAAUGAAGACCUUUCUUUGUGGGUGAUGAUUUAGUGCAAUGAGUGCAAUCUAAAGUGAUGGAUUUCUUUCCCAGGCAUCUUCAAAUACAAACC
rnacentral:lncRNA from 1 species